GACGAACGCUGGCGGCGUGCUUAACACAUGCAAGUCGAACGGAAAGGCCCUGCUUUUGUGGGGUGCUCGAGUGGCGAACGGGUGAGUAACACGUGAGUAACCUGCCCUUGACUUUGGGAUAACUUCAGGAAACUGGGGCUAAUACCGGAUAGGAGCUCCUGCUGCAUGGUGGGGGUUGGAAAGUUUCGGCGGUUGGGGAUGGACUCGCGGCUUAUCAGCUUGUUGGUGGGGUAGUGGCUUACCAAGGCUUUGACGGGUAGCCGGCCUGAGAGGGUGACCGGCCCAAUGGGGACGGAGAUACGGCCCAGACCCCUAGGGGGGGGAGGAGGGGGGAAUAUUGCCCAAGGGGGGGAAGCCGGAUGCAGCAACGCCGGGGGGGGGAGGAGGGCCUUGGGGUGGAAAACCGCUUUCGCCGGGGACGAAGCGGGGGUGACGGUAAUGGGGAAAGAAGCACCGGCUAACUACGU
rnacentral:rRNA from 1 species